ACUGAGCAUGCAGGAGUAUUCCCAAUGAGACCUCUUAACUAGUCCAUCAGAAGGGAAAUCUCCCCCGUUGUACUAGAUGAUAGCACUAGGGUACCUGCUGGUUCAAUGCCUAUCCACAGAGAGCUGGAAUCCACAUUUUUGGAAUCCAGUGCUACCACCUCUGUGCCUGGAUGUGGAAAGACUCAUUACUUCAAGCUGGUGUGUGUAUACUUCGGAAAUGCUUCUAAGAGGACAAUGAAGUUACUAAAGAUAAUGUUUAUGAAAUUCUUCAAAGAGCUACUCCAGCAAAGUAGCUCUAAUCUCAUCUAUGAUAUGGUCUAGAAAUCUUUCUUCUGCAAAGAGUUGGGAUGUAAUUUCAAAGACUUUUUGGAUUAUAUGAGCAUUUUAUGCAACUAUUGUUGUGAUUCUGAAUGCUGUGAAGCUUGUGAACGCAUCCGAGCUAGGAGCCUUCAGUAGAGUAGGAAGAACCUGUUUAUCUGGCAUAUGAGCUCUGGGAAUGUUACACUUAAGGUCUGAAUGGGAAGGUGCCUCCCCUCUAAAGAGGCAUGCAGCUUUUAGAAGCAGUAACUGCUGAGAAGACUCUGAACAGCCAAGCUGCUGAGAGCGUAUCUCUCCGACCUGUUGAGUUUCAUGCAAGUCAUGCAGAGAACUCCAGGAAUGCACUUUUUGUGAAUGGUGACUUGUGAGUUUUUCAAUGAUGCAGAAGCUUUUGAGUCAUCCCUACCCCAAUGUGAUGGUUUGAAUGAGAAUGUCUCCCAUAGGCUCCAAGUCUUUGGACAUUGUGUCCCUAAUUGGUGGCACU